AGAACUUUUGUUUACCCCUGUACAGAGGCUUCAGAGAAACACUCUAGUCAUACAUGACCUUCUGAAAUAUACGCCUGAAGAUCAUGAGGAUUACAAAGUACUCAUGAAGACUUUGGAUCUGGCUGACCACAACCUGAAGAAUUUUGCAACAAAACCAGAUUCACAAGUCGCAAAUAUUGAGGACCAUCUAGUAAAGAGUGGCUUUGUAGUGGAGAUGUUCGGAAAUUCUAGAAAAUUGAGAUUCAUGUUCUUAUUCACAGAUGUCCUUGUGUGUACCAAACACAAACAAAGUGGCAGGAAUCGUGUGAAUGUAUUUGAAGUGAAAUGGUUCCUUCCUGUUCCCCAGAUCAACAUGGAAACCAAAUUGGACAAAGUGUUCCAAAUCAAAGAAGAUACCGAAAGCAUGAAGAAGAAGAUAGUCAGCCUAAAGGCUGAGUUACGAAAAGAGAUGAAAAUCCAUGAUGACAAAGGAGAGAGAACAUCUUGGUUAUCCUCUGGAACAAGGACCAUGGAAAAAUUGAAAAAGAAAAUUGAAGAGCAGGAAGCUGCUUUAAUCCUUGCAUCACCUCAUCUGCCAUUACAAUUCACAACAAGAGAGGACUCAAAAAAUCACUGCAUUCUGCUGUCUACGGAUUAUGAACGAGAGGAAUGGAGGGAUGCUGUACUGGCUCAACAGAACCACUAUCAUGGUGGAAUUAUCAGGCAGCUAAGUGGCCAUGAUGUACAAGCGAAGAUCAAUGAGAGCAAACAGCUUCCCCAAGUCAACAACAUUGGGAGCGUUUUGAUGAAGAAAGAUGAUGAGAUGUUGAAUGGGUCUCUAAAUGUCACCAUCCACAAGUUAGAUGGACUGGAAAGUCCCUGUGACACAUAUGUUCAACUCCAUCUAGACUCCUAUGGCUAUUUCUUCAUGCAAGCUAAGACCAGGCCUUGUGUUAACAGCACGGAGCCGAACUGGGACCAGGACUUUGAGCUGGAGCUGGAGGGAUCACAGACCCUCAGGAUACUGUGCUACACUGUCAACAGGGAGGGGGAGGAUGAACUGAUCGGGAGGAGUGCUCUAGAGCUGAGCAGGGCUUGGCUGAGUAGCAGUUUCAAAGAGCAGAAGAUAAGCAUGAACACGAUUUGAAGGCUGGGGUUAAUCUCCUUGGAGACAGUGAUAUUCAUGCUGUGACUGGGGUUCUCAAAUUGUACUUCAGGGAGCUCCCAGAGCCUCUCUUUUCUGAGGCCAGCUACAAGCAGUUUGUAGAUUCAAUCGGUUUGCACGAUGGAGAUGCUAAAGAAAAAGUCUUUCUUCAACUGCUACAUGACCUACCGAAUGAGAACUAUUACUGUAUUGUGGCCAUUGUGGAGCAUUUAGUCAGAGUCAGUAAACAUGAGGAUAAGAAUAAGAUGUCCCUCAGUAACCUGUCUACAGUGUUUGGCCCCACUCUGCUCCACCCAGCAGUCAGUGACCACCAGACCCCCUCCCAGCUGAUGCAGGACGCCCAGGACGUGUUCCUACAGGCAGGGGUGCUCUAUUUCCUCCUGCAGCUAGCAGCCAGCGGGCGGAACAUCCGACGAUGCGAGUCCUCCACGAUUGAAAUGCACGGGGAUGACAGACUGGUGUAGAAGAGUGGAUGACAUGGGAGUGUAGUAUUACAGAUAGAGAGAAAAGGGUGGAUCAGUGGAAGAUGAAAGUUAAUAAAAUUACCAGUAAUGUAAUUGAUGAAUAUGUUUAAAAUCUUAUGUUAUUGUAUAAAGUACAUGUUUAUUGUAUUUAAAACUUGAUCUGGAAAACC
rnacentral:misc_RNA from 1 species